UUAAGUUCAGCGGGUAUCCCUACCCGAUCCGAGGUCAACCUUGAUGAUGGUGUUUAGCGGCGUGGGUUCUCCGUCCCUCCAGCGAAUUGAUGGAUCACAACGCUGGGAUCGGGGUCCUCCAGCCGGGUCAAUUGGGGCGCGGGCGGGUCACGGCCCGUCGCCCAAUACCAAGCAGGCUUGAGUGGUGAAAUGACGCUCGA
rnacentral:misc_RNA from 1 species